CAAGCCUGCCCCUUGCUCUAGAAACUUCCCUAUCAAUUUUGUAUCCUUCGGAAUCCCAUUGGUUUGUUUAAGUUCUUCCCCUCCCCUGUAAUCCCCAAUUGGUUUAAACUUUGUAUUCCCCGCCUGGUGUUCCACCCUCAGUUUCUCCCAAUUGGCUAAAGAUUGGAUCCUGCCCUGGGACCCUGCCAAGUUUCUGAACCUGCUGGUGAAGGUGGUGCAGCUUCCCAAGCCACAUCCAGGACUGAGGCUCUGGGAGAUGCUGAGGGUGUGUCUGCAGGGAGGACUUCUCCAGCUCCUUUGCUGAUUCCUACACAGAAGCCUGGCAACCAUCGCAGAGGUCCUCCGAGGGGGAAGGACCAAGCUACAGGACACCAGAAACCCCAUGAUCCAUCCGAAAACAUGAGGCAAAUGCUGAAGGAAAUGCAGCAGGCAGGAGAAGAUGAGGUUGCUGGGAAGGCUUCUCCAUCAGCUUGGAUGAAUAAAGUUUUGAAGCCCUUGGAGCCUCCUGCAGGAAUGUUCUCAGUGUGCCACCAAGGAAGAACUGUAGACAAGCGGGCAGGCACCAGGUGACAGAAGCUUCUG